rnacentral:rRNA from 1 species
UGGGGAAUUUUGGACAAUGGGCGAAAGCCUGAUCCAGCAAUGCCGCGUGUGUGAAGAAGGCCUUCGGGUUGUAAAGCACUUUUGUCCGGAAAGAAAUCCUUGGCUCUAAUACAGUCGGGGGAUGACGGUACCGGAAGAAUAAGCACCGGCUAACUACGUGCCAGCAGCCGCGGUAAUACGUAGGGUGCAAGCGUUAAUCGGAAUUACUGGGCGUAAAGCGUGCGCAGGCGGUUUGCUAAGACCGAUGUGAAAUCCCCGGGCUCAACCUGGGAACUGCAUUGGUGACUGGCAGGCUAGAGUAUGGCAGAGGGGGGUAGAAUUCCACGUGUAGCAGUGAAAUGCGUAGAGAUGUGGAGGAAUACCGAUGGCGAAGGCAGCCCCCUGGGCCAAUACUGACGCUCAUGCACGAAAGCGUGGGGGAGCAAAGCAGGAUUAGAUACCCUGGUAGUCCACGCCCUAAACGAUGUCAACUAGUUGUUGGGGAUUCAUUUCCUUAGUAACGUAGCUAACGCGUGAAGUUGACCGCCUGGGGAGUACGGUCGCAAGAUUAAAACUCAAAUGAAUUGACGGGGUCAUAGCUGUUUCCU